rnacentral:rRNA from 1 species
UGGGGAAUUUUUCGCAAUGGGGGAAACCCUGACGAAGCAACGCCGCGUGGAGGAUGAAGGCCCUCGGGUCGUAAACUCCUGUCAAUGGGGACGAAAGCAGUCGGUCUAAUACACCGUUUUGUUGACUGUACCUGUGGAGGAAGCUCCGGCUAACUCUGUGCCAGCAGCCGCGGUAAUACAGAGGGAGCAAGCGUUGUUCGGAAUUACUGGGCGUAAAGGGCGCGUAGGCGGUCUGGAAAGUCUCGCGUGAAAUCCCCCGGCUCAACUGGGGAAUUGCGCGGGAAACUGCCAGUCUUGAGUUCGGGAGAGGGAAGCGGAAUUCCGGGUGUAGCGGUGAAAUGCGCAGAUAUCCGGAGGAACAUCGGUGGCGAAGGCGGCUUCCUGGACCGACACUGACGCUGAGGCGCGAAAGCUAGGGGAGCAA